rnacentral:rRNA from 1 species
UACGGAGGUGGCAAGCGUUGCUCGGAAUCACUGGGCGUAAAGGGCGCGUAGGCGGGGAGGUAAGUCGGGUGUGAAAUCCCUCGGCUCAACCGAGGAACUGCGCCCGAGACUGCUUCUCUUGAGUCCCGGAGAGGAAGGUGGAAUUCCCGGUGUAGCGGUGAAAUGUGUAGAGAUCGGGAGGAACACCGGUGGCGAAGGCGGCCUUCUGGACGGUGACUGACGCUGAGGCGCGAAAGCGUGGGGAGCAAACAGG